GACGAACGUUGGCGGCGUGCUUAAUACAUGCAAGUCAAUUGAAGCACCGGUAGUAAUACUGGUGUGGAGGUGGCGCACGGGUGAGUAACACGUAGGUAAUCUGCCUUCAGGUCUGACAUAACCCCGAGAAAUCGGGCUAAUAGCAGAUGAUGCAGCGGCUUGACAUCAAAGACAGUUGUUAAAGCUUCGGCGCCUGAAGAUGAGCCUGCGUCUGAUUAGCUAGUUGGCGGAGUAAUGGCCCACCAAGGCUACGAUCAGUAACUGGUCUGAGAGGAUGAUCAGUCACACUGGAACUGAGACACGGUCCAGACUCCUACGGGAGCAGCAGUAAGGAAUAUUGCUCAAUGGGAGAAAUCCUGAAGCAGCAACACCGCGUGAGGGAUGAA
rnacentral:rRNA from 1 species